rnacentral:rRNA from 1 species
GACGAACGCUGGCGGCGUGCCUAAUACAUGCCAGUUGAGCGCUGAAGGUUGGUACUUGUACCAACUGGAUGAGCAGCGAACGGGUGAGUAACGCGUGGGGAAUCUGCCUUUGAGCUGGGGACAACAUUUGGAGACGAAUGCUAAUACCGCAUAAAAACUUUAAACACAAGUUUUAAGUUUGAAAGAUGCAAUUGCAUCACUCAAAGAUGAUCCCGCGUUGUAUUAGCUAGUUGGUGAGGUAAAGGCUCACCAAGGCGAUGAUACAUAGCCGCACUGAGAGGGUGAUCGGCCACAUUGGGACUGAGACACGGCCCAAACUCCUACGGGAGGCAGCAGUAGGGAAUCUUCGGCAAUGGACGAAAGUCUGACCGAGCAACGCCGCGUGAGUGAAGAAGGUUUUCGGAUCGUAAAACUCUGUUGGUAGAGAAGAACGUUGGUGAGAGUGGAAAGCUCAUCAAGUGACGGUAACUACCCAGAAAGGGACGGCUAACUACGUG